GUGUGUGUGUGUGUGUGUGUGUAUUUAGCAGUCUGUGUGUGUAUUCAGCAGUCUGCUAAAUACAGACAUGCUGCUAAGUACACAGACAUGCUG